UGAGGUUACUAAAAAGGGAAAAAUUGAGAAGUGCAAAAAACUCGCUGACCUAGAAAGUGAAAUGUUUGAGUGGUUUUGUCAAAUUAGAGUAGAUAUCAUUCCUAUUUCUGGUUCUUGUUUGAAAGGGAAGCCAAUAAAAUUGCCUUAAAGAGGAAAAGUGUCCCAGUGAAGGGUUCUAGCCCUCUAAAUCUAACAUCUAAUGAUGUGACAACAGCGUUUCUAUUUGCUGAAAACCAGGCAACUGCUACUGUUGUUACAACUGGAAAAGAUUGGCAGUGAAAGUAGGAAGACAAUUCUGGAUAAAUACCACCCUAGGAAUAUAUUCAGCACUCUAAAUAAAAUUGUCUCUGCCUCAAUUUGCAGCCUGCGAAAUAGGUUUCUUGUUUUGAAGAAUACGACUCACUCUAGAAGGGGAUUGUCUAAGAAUGACUCAGAGAAAUUUAAGGCAAUGGAAUGCAGAAAUUUCAUACAGCCCCACUGUGAGGUUUCUGGAACCAGGAAACAUCUGGUUAUAGGGAGAUCCAGACAGUCUGGAGAGGUAGGCUCGCAAUCUCCAACCCGAGCUCUAGCUGAGACGUUGCUGUGCCCACACUGGGUGGCCAGAUGACUUCUCUUGCCUCUCACGAUUUUCCUGAUCUUGUCAGUAGCCCACUCUGGGCUGCCUGGACAAACAAUUCUAUGUCACCACUGUUGCUGAAGCCACCAUGGCCCUGGAACCAGUUUGCCUACGUUUUAAAUCUAUGUUGGCCCAUGGCCCACUGAGUGGUCAAGGGCUAAACAUGACUAAAUGAUACCAGAUUUAGCCACAAAUCGGUAAGACCAAACAUGCACUUUUACAGUCUCUUUAUUCAAUAACGACGUUACU
rnacentral:lncRNA from 1 species